GUGACCUCAAAUCAGGUAGGACUACCCGCUGAACUUAAGCAUAUCAAUWAGCGGAGGAACAGAAACUAACAAGGAUUCCCCUAGUAACUGCGAGUGAAGCGGGAAAAGCUCAAAUUUAAAAUCUGGUAGUCUUUUGGCUAUUCGAGUUGUUAUCUAGAGAAGUGUUAUUCGCGCUGGACCGUGUAUAAGUUUCCUGGAAUGGAGCGUCAUAGAGGGUGAGAAUUCCGUCUUUGACACGGACUGCCAGGGCUUUUUGUGAUGCACUCUCAAAGAGUCGAGUUGUUUGGGAAUGCAGCUCAAAAUGGGUGGUAAAUUCCAUCUAAAGCUAAAUAUUGGCGAGAGACCGAUAGCGAACAAGUACCGUGAGGGAAAGAUGAAAAGAACUUUGGAAAGAGAGUUAAACAGUACGUGAAAUUGCUGAAAGGGAAACGCUUGAAGUCAGUCGCGUUGUCCAGGAAUCAACCUUGCUUUUGCUUGGUGUACUUUCUGGUUGACGGGUCAACAUCAAUUUUAAUCAUUGGAGACAUCUUAAUGGAAUGUAGCAUCUUUGGA
rnacentral:rRNA from 2 species